rnacentral:sRNA from 1 species
CUUUUGGAUCCGCCAUCUGCGGUGGAGCCGCCACCAAAAUGCAGAUUUUCGUGAAAACCCUUACGGGGAAGACCAUCACCCUCGAGGUUGAACCCUCGGAUACGAUAGAAAAUGUAAAGGCCAAGAUCCAGGAUAAGGAAGGCAAGUAGUAUUUUGUAGUUAAGAAAACUUAACCUGUGGAGACUUCGGCCUACCUGUAGGUGCUAGACAUACCUGCUCUUGGUGAGGGGGGAAGGGGUCAGAUUGACAAAGUGAAAUACUUGUGGAAUAACACAAUAAACAUUGGUGAUCGGGGAGCACAGUACCUAGAUUGGAAUCCUUGAGGUGUAUUUCACUUGCGUGAAUUUGGACACUUAUUUAUUUUGUGUGAGAUGGAGUCUCUGUCGCCCAGGCUGGAGUGCAUUCGCUCGUCCCGGCUCACUGCAGCCUCCGCCUCCCGGUUUCAAGUGAUUUUUGUGCUUCAGCCUCCCUAGUAGUGGGGAUUACAGGCGUGCACCACCAUGCCCGGCUAAUUUAUUGUAUUUUUAGUAGAGACUGGGUUUUACCAUGU